GCGCCGGUGGUGUAAUGGCGUAGAGCAUUCCCACCCAGUCAAAGGGAGGUGCGGGUUCGAGUCCCGCCUGGCGCU
rnacentral:tRNA from 1 species